UACGUAGGGUGCGAGCGUUGUCCGGAAUUAUUGGGCGUAAAGAGCUUGUAGGCGGUUUGUCGCGUCUGCUGUGAAAAUCCGGGGCUCAACUCCGGACUUGCAGUGGGUACGGGCAGACUGGAGUGUGGUAGGGGAGACUGGAAUUCCCGGUGUAGCGGUGGAAUGCGCAGAUAUCAGGAGGAACACCGAUGGCGAAGGCAGGUCUCUGGGCCACUACUGACGCUGAGAAGCGAAAGCAUGGGGAGCGAACAGG
rnacentral:rRNA from 1 species